GAUUUCGUGGCGGCGUGGAUCCCCAUCGCCGCCCGCCGCCUCUCCGGCGAUCUGACCUUCAUCAACAUUGCGUCGCCGGACAUCGUGAGGGAUGAGGCCGGGGACAGAGGCGCCUUCGACCUGCCGUGCUUCGAGAAUGCCACCUCGGUCACCCUCCAGCUAGGGUUCCUUCGCGUCGCAGUGCCGGCCUCUGGCAUAGCCGCCCGGCUCACCGAUCUCCACCUGGAUAACUUCCGGCUACAAGCUCCGUGUGUGCUCGGCGACGUUUUCUCAUCGCCUUUGUGCCCGUCAUUACAAAGCCUCGCCAUCCACGACGCCUCGGGUGUUGAAAAAUUCACCAUCAGCUCUGGGUCCCUCCUGGAACUGGAGCUGAUGAAUCUAGACGGUUUGCAGCAGCUCACCGUCGUGGCACCGGUGCUCGAAGAAUUAAGAGUGGCCUUCUGCUUUCUGAAUUUUCGGAAUCCGAAACAACCGGUUGCCAACAUCUCAGAUUCUCAGCCCCUCAGCUGGUGUCGCUCGAAUGGAGGGAUGCCUAUGAUCCAUGCUCCGUCCAGCUUGGCGAGAUGCCACACCUACAACGGCUCGGCACUGGCAUUUUUCUUGUAUAUGGACCAGAUGACUUUAAACCCAACCGUGAUUGCCUCAGUUUUUUGGGCCAGUUCAAGGUUGUGCACAGUCUAACCAUCCCGCUGCUCUAUAAUUCGUAGUAUACCUGUUUUGAUCAGGGGAACAUAACCUAUAGAGGGGAAUGCAAAUACCUUGUGUAAUAAUCUUCUGGAACGAAACAUACCAGUGGUCAAGGGUGGUAUGCCCAAUUGCCACUGCUGACGAUGACACCAAGUCUAGAGCCAGCUCUGACAAAGCUGACCAGUGACGACGCCCCCGAAUAUCGUGGUGGCUGUCAAGGCAGAUCAGUGUGAGCAACGGCGAUGUUGACUGUUUGUUGCCGUUGCCUAGGAUGCGGCUACCAAAUUGCAAAUAUGCUUCUGAGGUACCAUCUUAAAAAAUGUGAUUGGCUCUGCUUUGUAGCCGUUAGUGUUCGCGUGACAUUUUCCAAUAUGUUGAUCUAUCUUUUAAAGAAUGCUCUCAACAAGAUGCUGUGUACUUUCCAUUUUGUUUCAGAGCUUAGUCUUUGGAGUCCCUCAAGGCAAGUAUCUCUAUACUGACAGUAGCCUCUUCUCACUUUUGUGAUACAUCCUAGGAAGGUAUAUCAAAUUUAUAGAUAUAGAAGAGCGAGAGAAGGCUGAUGCAAUACCAUUGAAUGGAUUACAGCGCUGGCAAGGAAGACAAAUGAAAACAGAGCAGGUAACAUGGGAGCAAAUUUUUCGCCUCGGAAUAGUCCAGCUCUGAGCCACUGUGCCGGUGUGUGACUUGAUAUUGGAGAAAGUCAUUUUCACCGAUGGAGGGUAUCAGUUGAAUAUUACAUCUUUGCGGUGUCGCUAGGUGCACUAUAAGGUGAGGAUGAUUUCCAUACAUAGGUUUCUUUGAUGCUUAGUCCACCAUUCCGCUGCUACCAAAACUGGAAGUGCUGCUCUGUUCCCGUCUUACAAUUUGCAACAACAAAGGUAAUGCUGCUUGUGUUCCGCUUCCUUUCAUGCAUCUGCGCUAUGUUAUUUCUAAAUUUUAGCCUCUGAAAGGCCAGUCUACUAAACCUUUCCUGCUAUGUAUUUUCGUUGUGUGGAUGGGGCAGGGGAGAUGGGGAAGGAGAGACCGCUUCGGACUUUCGGAGGGAGGAGAAGAAGACCCUGCGCCCGGCUUCCGGGUGCGCCUUUGGAGUGCUCAUCACCUUGUUUUUAUUCCCGUAAUGUGAUGAGGGAUGCGUGGUGUAAGAUUGGAUUGAAUUGGAAACCUUGCACGCCCCCAUGCACUGCACAGAUGAUGACUAAGGAUCUCGACGAUGACGAGAAGCCGGUCUUCUCAGAGUGUCGACGGAACCUCACUAGGUUUGUGGCUUCGUCAUCUUUGUUUCAAGCAGUUUUAUUGUACACAAUUUGUUGUGAUGGGUGAUAGUAAUUAAUUUUUUAUGGCGUUGUUUCUGAUACCAUGUCAGGGUAGAACCUAGGUUAUGUCAAGAUAUAAAACCAGGUUUACUAUAACCAUAAAAUUUUGGUGUGUAUGAAUCAGCAAAUUCAUAUAGUGUUUAGGUUGGUUGGAUGCUUAAAAGGUUAGUUGUCAACUUUCUGAAGCUUUCUAAAAAUACUGUAAUCUGAUCUUAAAUACAUUUGUCGCAUGAUUUGAAUUAGAGACAGGCAAAGGUAGAACCCUCAUUGAAAUAUGUUCUUAAUGAUAUUUUGUUGGAGGAAGGUUCUACAGUUAUUGUCGAGGUAAGAAAAGCUUGUUUAUCCUAAAUGAUGUUCAAACAUAAGCAUUGAUACGAGAGAUUAUUUAAUGCUGGAGUUUUCUUUCCAUAAAUUGAGCACCUAAUAUGCUCUCCAUGAUAGUGCUUGGAAUGAGAGCAUGUGUUGCAUUUGUGGAUUCUUUUUUUUACUGUAAUUCACUCA